rnacentral:lncRNA from 1 species
GGGAUUACAGGCAUGAGCCACCGUGCCUGGCUCAAUUGCUUUAAUGAUAUAGGGCAGUGGUGAUUUUAUCCCUCCCUUGGGGGACAUGUGGUAACAUCUGGAGACAUUUGGGGUUGUUACAACUGGGUGGUCAUUCUGGCAUCUAGUCAGUAGAGGCCAGGGAUACUGCUCAGUACCCUGCAAUACACAGGACAGCCCUUCCCCACAACAAUUAUCCAACCUAAAUAUCAACAGUGCUGAGGUUGAGAAACCCUAAUAUAGAGCUAUUUGAACUUUCUAAUUCUUCU